CCCGAGGCCGCCGCCACCCCAGCCCCCGCCCCAGCGUCGCCAGGACUCUGGGGCUCCGGUUGUUAUGGCGACAGCUGCGCCGGUGAAUGAGCGUCUUAGUGACACGCGCGCGCCCCCUCUGCCAGAUGUGGCCCCGGGGCGCGCCGCGUUCCCGCUGGCCACAAGUUAUGGACGGCGUGGGGGUGGGGGGAGCGGGGGGUCCCCCGGUGCGGUACCGCUCGGGACGUGACAUCAGGAACAGAUAGGGGUUCCAGAGCUUGAGCGUAUUCCUGUCCUGGGACAUAGAACUUGAAAACAAGAGGAACAGGACCUCCACAGCGCUGGGUGUCAGAUGCCAGGGAGUGGCGAAGUAGCACUAACAGAGGUUCCCUAGCACCGGGUACGCGCCGGUCACAGGUUAACUUGCCCAGAAGUGAGUGGAUGGUGGAUCAAGACAACCGAAGUAAGGAAUGCAGGCACUGCCCCUUCGCCAUCCGGAGCUCCCAACCAGAACCCCAGGCAGACCCGUUUCCUAACUUUGGGCCUUUGCACGCUCAAGACCAGAGAGCCACAAGAGCAGAACCAAGCUGAGGGGGAAGGAACCGUGCUCAGAGACUCCAAGCAAGCUAGAAAUACCUGUGAGAGACCCAAGGAUCUAUGCAGGAAAGGCAGAAAAAUUGUAAGAGCCAGCGGUGGGGGAUGACGCCAAGGAAAGAGCAUCUUCCAGACACAACAGGACUGAUACACAUACCAACUCAGAGUCUGUGACGACAAGGACAAGACCUUCACAGGUUCAAACUAGACAACCUUCCGGCAAAGGGAAGAGGAAGUAGACACAGGCCCCACUCCUAACCAAGAAGCUAUUUGCAACUGAUGCCUUCUGGGUACAUACAGUACCUGCAGAAGCCAGAAGAGGGCAUCAGAUCUUCCAGAACUGGAGUAACCGGGGUUGUGGGUCCCCAUCACUGAGCCAUCUCUUCAGUGAAAUGAAAAGCUAUGGAUUCCUUCAAACUUAAUAAAGAUCAGAUUUGAACAGGGGAGACCUCCUGAAGAUCUUGGCUACAGACAUGAGAGAAGAAACCAGGAAGACUACAGGACAGGUAUCAUAUAUGCUGAUCCCUUUACAUGGGAACAGCUGUGAGGCUGGAUGAGACAUGGUAAAUCUUGUUGGCUAUAGAAUGACAUUAUUACAUGACAUCCUUUCAUAUGACAUGGGUAGAGGUUUGGUUAUACAGUCCAAACAGACUUAUAAAGUUGAUAGAUGCCUUUUACCUGCUCAAACAUAAAUAAUCAUCUUUAGCUGACUUAUACACACUGCA